rnacentral:rRNA from 1 species
CUARAAGYMUUAUCGUACAACUGAGGCACAAGGGCUGUCGCUGACUUUGUCGUGCACGCCCAGUGCUCUCAAACAUCCAUCUCACCCUAUGUGCACCACCGCGUGGGUUCCCUUUGCAGGGCGCUUGCGUUUUCACACAAACCGAGUGUAUAAUGUCUAUUUUGCGGUAACACGCAUUAAUACAACUUUCAACAACGGAUCUCUUGGCUCUCGCAUCRAUGAAGAACGCAGCGAAAUGCGAUACGUAAUGUGAAUUGCAGAAUUCAGUGAAUCAUCGAAUCUUUGAACGCACCUUGCGCCCCUUGGCAUUCCGAGGGGCACACCCGUUUGAGUGUCGUGAAAUUCUCAACCUUUUCUUUUUUGAAAGGAUUGGACUUGGAGGUUUUUGCUGGUUUACAUCGAAUCGAGCUCCUCCUAAAUGGAUUAGUGGGGUCUGCUUUGCCGAUCCUUGACGUGAUAGAUGCUUCUACGUCUUGGGUUUGGCACUGUCCUGCUUCUAACCGUCUCAUCGACAAUGAUGGCUCACCUGACCCACCUUGACCUCAAUCGGGUGAGACUACCCGCUGAUAACCAUAUCA